GCUGAUAUAGCUCAAAGGUAGAGUCACUGACUUGUAAUCAGAAGGUUGGGGGUUCGAUUCCCUUUAUCAGUU
rfam:Eimeria maxima Weybridge genomic scaffold, Emw_scaff527